CCAAAAAAGAAAUGAUUCAAGCUCGGUGGGACAGCCCAAAAAGGAAUACGACUCAAACUCGGUGGGACGGAGGGAGUAUUAAAUUAUUUUAUUAUUGUCACGGUAAGAUCUAUUAAAAAUAAGUUAAAUUUAACUCAACAAUAAAUUAUAUUUUUCUUCUCUCAUAAAAAAGAAAAAUUACAAUUUUCCCAAUGUGACGAUAAAAAUUCAAUUAUUGUAUUCCUUAAUCCCCC
rnacentral:lncRNA from 1 species